AACACCAUUUGUGUGCGACAGGCCGCAGCCAAGAUAUCCACGAUUUUCAGAAAAACGAUGGAAAAAGUUGACGGAAAAAGUGUUGGUGUGACACACCACCUUGAGAAUGCUUAAUUAUGUAAGGCCUGCCUGCCUGCCUGUCCCCCCCCCCACCCCCCUCUCUCUCUCUCUCUCUCUCUCUCUCUCUCUCUCUCUCUCUCUCUCUCUCUCUCUCUCUCUCUCUCUCUCUCUCUCUCUCUCUCUCUCUCUGAAGUGUGGAUGGUAUAUCAGCACAGGGAGCAAAAAACCAAGGAGCCACUGAGGCUGUCACUUUGAAGAGGUCAUUGUUGUUGCAUCCAGCAUCCCAGCCUGACUGCCUAGACAGCUCCUGCAGGUUGCUGAAGGGCAGAGUCACAGACUGCUCCACUGCCAGGUGUGAGACCAGUGUGGCAGAGUAUGAUGUGUACACAAUGAGGGACACACCACAGCCAACCCUGUAGGUGACCCAUGCUGCACUGCUGAUUGGGUCCUCACUUUGCUGUAGGAGAGCUGACAACACGUACCAGCCAGCAACUCCCAUGCUGACGGGCUUCUCCCCCAUGGGUAUGUAGCACCUCUGGAGUUGGUCAGCAAAGAAGAGGAUGCUAGCCAAACCUAUCAUGUUAG